UAGAUUUUUUUUUUUUGCCAGCGCCACCUGUCGGCUUGGAAAAUUAUUGGUAUAGAACAUUGGGACUCAGUGUUAUUGGACAGGUCACAAAGAGGAUCAUCGAGAUGGCAUGAUAGAGUGGCCUCAGUCGCCUCUUCCAAAAUGUUGCUGCAAUGCGCCUUCCGCAUUUACGUGAAAGGUCACGUGGAAAACCUCCCGCCAUGCGCUGGGUGGGGCUAGUGAAGGCGGCGGGGAAGGCGGGAGUUACUGGGUUCGGCGGGGAAAGUGUAUUCGGGGAAUGGCUGUUCAUUCAGAGCUGUGACUGAGGUGACACUACGGUCCUAAGCACCUCAGCUUCGCCGUCUCCCACUUUAGGGAUGAUCACAAGUCUUCACGUCAAAGUGGGCUGAUCUCUAAGGCAAGUGCAGAGCACUGAUGUUUCCACCUGUGGUACAGGCUGGGAAGGAAAUAGGCCUCUCCAUACGGCAAGUGACCUACACCCCAAGACUCAUGAUCUCAGCAGUUCCUUUAGCUUGAGGAAACAAACAUCCAAUAUUGGAAAAAUUUCAUAGGAUCUAGCAAGGAAGUUGCUUAAAGGAUGUUCGCUCUACAUAUCUUUUGGCUUAACGUUCAUGUAACUCCUAAAAUAACAAUCCUUCGGCUUCAGCCUACUGAGUGCUGGGAUUACAGACUUGUGCCACCACACCCAGCUAGACAUAUUUUAAGCAAAAUUCACUUCUUUUUUUUUUGAGAGGUGGUGGUUAAACUUUUAUCAGUUGUAUUAACUUAACCCACACCUGGAAAAUUACCCAAUGCAGACAAUUUAAAGGAGAAGAGAUUCAUUUGGCUUACAAUGUCAGGGAACUCAGUUCAUAAUCAUUUGGCCUCAUGGCAAGAUCAUUUGCUAGAAGGGUACAUGGAGCCAAGACAUUUCAUCAGUGGCCAAGAAGCAAAACGGGAACAGAACCAGACAGGAAGAGGCCAGGAACUAGAGGCAGUAUUGUGUGCUACUCAGCCAGACACACAGGAAAUGUGCUUCACUAAUCUACUAGGUGUAUCUCAAGACCGUGAAAUUGACAAUCCUAACUAGGACACUGAUAACCAGAGCCCAGAGGUGACAAACUGCUACUCCCAGGCCAGAUGGGACCACUUGCAUAGUUUAUUGACCCUCAUAGUGUUAUUGAAAACAGACCAGGACAUGCCAGCAUUUGAAAAUUGCAAAGUUUCACAUAAAAAGUGGGAAUACCUAAUAUUCUUGAAGCAUUAAAUCUGGCCCUAUGCUCUGGUCCCACAUCAGCACUCAGCUGGAGCUGCCCCACUGAGGACCCUCUGGGCACCUUUUAGGAACACCCUGGUUUACUACCACUCCAUUGCUCCCUGCCAUCACCCUGUCCUGCAGCUGAGUGUCAAAUGCCAUUUAUCCCCAUGUCUGUGCUGGGUUUUCUGUCUCCUGUUUAUCCUAUAACAGACCCUAUAACAGAUGUGGAAACCCAAGGCUAGUAGAUAACUAAAGGUUUACUUUCUAUUGGUUUAAAUCCCAUUGACCUACAAUGAUUUAUAUAUUUCACAUAAUUACUAAUGUCAUUUAAUUUUAUACAUUAUUGAUAAAAUACCAUUCAAAUUCAGAUAGUAAAUAUACAUUUAUUUUUUCAUUUAAAUCAUUCUUGCUUUUUUCUCCUCCCUUUUUUUCUGUUGUCUUUUCCUGUAACUUUAAAGCUGUCUCUAAAGUGCAAUAUCAGUAAUGAGGUCGUAACACUUUUCUAUUACAAUUCAUACUUUAGUCUUGGUUUGGCCUAAUUUAAAUACUGACAUUAUAGAUUCAUGCUAAUUAGCUUGAAUGGCCAAAUCCCCCACCAAUUAAGCAAAUGUGUAAAUUUUGGGUUAUUUCAAUUACCCUAAGGUUACGGAGGAAAAAAUGUGAUGAACAUGAUAUAUAAUGACAAUGACCAACGUAGGCCAUUAUGUUAUUUCAUAGUAAAACUUAUUUUUGUCAUUAUGGUAUCAUGAAUGCAUCCUGAGUUAGACAUUUGUACCACAAUUGCCAUUCCACUAAUGAAAAACUGGGUCUCUGUGAGGGGAACUUUUCAUUGCACCAAUGGUGAGCCAACUAAAGUUUUUAAAUACUGUAUUGCUUUGGUUCCUUUUAUAACACGCAUAAUGCCAUCUUGUGUUAACAUGCUGUGUAAAGUAUCCUAACUUUUCAAUUUUUGUUUCUUUUUUUCUUUUAGACAGGGUCCCUAUGCAGUUCAGUCUGGCCUUAAACUCACUUUGUAGCCCAGGCUAGUCUCAAACUCACAAUAAUCCUUCUGCCUCAGCCUCCUGAAUGCCGAGAUUACAGGUGUUCGCCACAAUGCCCAGCUAACUUUUCAAUUUCAAACUUGCAAAUAAACUGAGUGCCAGAAGUUCCUUUAUUAAUUAUCUCUUCUAAAAAAAAGUUUGUCAAAGUCUGGGAAUGUAACUGUGUUAGAAUCCAAGCUUACCAUCCACCAGGUUCAACCCUCAGCACUACAAAAAAUUAAUUAAUUCGAGCACAUGAGAAUGCAAUAAGUGAUUGUUAGAUUCCUGGGCUAGCCCUUAAUGUGGUUUAACAGUUCUUCUGAUCUUAAUCUAAAUUCUAAUUUCUAGAGCACAUAGAAAAGAAACAGAAGGAGGAGGAAAAUGAGAAGACAAAUAGCAGAACCAGAAUCGUGAGUAAAGGUAGGAGAUUCAAAUAAAGAGAAGGAAAUGAAAGAGAGCUAGAAGAAAAUGUUUCCCAGGUCUAGGCAGCAGUCUAAGCAAAAUUUUGAGAUACAGUAUGCAGUUGUUUUUAUAUUCUCUGAUUACCACUUCCACACCUUUCUCUUCAGAACCCUUGUGCCUUUAUUUGGUACUAAUCCCUCCCACUCCACAUCUGUUCUAAUUCUUCCUACCUUCCACAAACAAAAUCUCAAAACUCUUGUUUCUCAGUGCAUCUUCUUUUAGCAAGGUGUUUGGAAGAUAUUAGUUUAAGAGAACCUAUUCAUUUUGUGGAAUUCCUAACACCUUUGAAAUCUAUCAUUCUCCAAUUGGGGGAAUUCCAGACAGUGCCACAAAAUGAAGCAGAAGAAAUUACAGUAGUGUGGUAUUUCCCCCCUACCCACAGUUUUCCUCCCAAGGUUUUAGUUUCCAGUGGUCAACCACAGUCUGAAAAUAUUAAAUAAAAAAUUCCAGAAAAAGGCAAUUUAUAACAAUUUCAUGCUGUCCCACCAUAAAAUACAUCCAAUAAGUAUCAUUGCAGAUGAUUCCAAGAACAGUGAGUAUAGUACAAAUCGGUACUUUGAGAGAGAGAAAACAUAUUUGCAUAAUUUUAUUACAACUUAAUAUAAUUGUUCUAUCAGUGAUUAUCAUUAGUCUAUAACCUAACUUACAAGUUAAACUUUAUCAUAGGUACAUGUGGGCAAAAAACAUCUAUGUAGGAUUUGGUACGAUCUGCCAUUUCAGGCAUCCACUAGGGAGUCUUACAAUGUGUCACCCACAGAUAAGAGGAGACAGCUUCAUUUUGAAAGAAGAUACCUUACAAACUCCAGCCUUCCGUACUUCUGAUCUGACAUCUCUUCAUAGGCUCCAGUUACAACGAUCUAGCCUCUAGCUGGUCCUCAAGAUAUGGUCACAAACUGAAUCAUUUGUUUUGAGUUUCUUGUUACUUUCCUUUUCAAAACAGCUCCCGAGAUUGAAUGUGGACUAAAGCAGAGAGAGCUGGAUAUUUAUAGGUGUGGCUCAGUUGUACAUGGGAACUGGAGACAGAGGCUGAGCUGUGCAUAGGGAUACCUGUAUGAUGGCCUUGUUCCCAGAUUCCUUGUUUAAGUCACUUGUCUGCUGCCAAGUUUCCUAGCUGCGGACAUAGUUAUAAUACUAGUAAAUGACAGUGACAACAUAGCUUUUGUUGUUUGACAUGGGGAAGGCUUUAAAGUAAGAGAAGUCGGGAAAGUCACUGGCAAUACUGGCAAUGUUUUCAAUACUGUAUGACUUUAAGGAUGAGUCCCUGUUGAAAAGAGCCACAUCUAAGAACGAAAUAUACAUACAUGUUUGCUGGUCUUUGUGUAACGAUGUGGGCAACCCUUGGGAAUCACCGUCACCAGUGCUAUGGAUGAGUAAGCUUUGCUCUGGGAAGGGAUACUUGGCCUCUGUGCUGAUGCGAAGCCUCUUCAGCCCACAAAUAGCCAGGUACUUGGUGGGAAGGGUGUUGGAACUGCACAGAGAAAGCUUCAAAUCCUGGACCAGUGUGAAAUUCAACAGGCGGCCCAGCACUGAUGAGUCCGUGAACCAGAUGGUCAGAUGGCCACUGUAGCUGGUUUGCUCUACUGCCAAAGCCAGGACGGUUUUACAGCUGCACAUCAGGUUAGCCAAACUGUAGUCACAGUCCCGGAUGUCUGCAGAGCAGCUGCAGUUCCGAAUGGUGUUUUGUUUUGUGAAAAUUAGCGUGCUGUUCUUCUGACCUUCAGUGAAACAGUCAAAUGUGAAGAUGCUUAGGGCGCCGAUCAGGAGAAGGCUGUGUCUGGAAGGCAGUGCCAUUCCUGCCCAGUGUGGGCUAGUGCGUUCCUGCUACCCCUUCAGAAGCCAGUUCAUUGCAACUCAUCUGGAAGAAAACAUGCAGCUUGAUUACCACAGCUGCUCCUCAGAAAUACACAGCUUCUGGAAAAGGAGGCCCCUAAGUAAGAAGUUGUAAACUUUUCUCUGUUGCAGGCAGGCAAAAAUGUUCUGAUCUCAGAGGCUCAGGAGAAGCAGCAGCCAAACCUCUGAGCCCGGCUUAGCUGAGGCAUGCAAUUCCCAGCGAUGUCUGCUGACAGUUGUAUUAAGAUGCCAAGAGAGCCGGAGUGGAUCCCAGGAAGAAGCCCUAUCGCAUUCUGUCCACGGGCAGGGGUUUGGAGUGAUUUGAGCAAGCACAUUCGCCAGCUGUCUAAUUAUGAGUAUGCUGUACCCAGAAGCCUUCAACACGCACAUGCCCUCCCCCUCAGGUCCCGACUUCCUGGAAUUCAGGAGACAAGCAGUUCCUUGUAAGAUUCCACUUCCCACACACUGCCUGUUAAGCAACAUAGCAUGGGUGCCAAUGAAACAUUUAGUUAAUGGUAAACUUUCAUGUCAACUAGAAAAACAUGUCUCCACUCCUCCCUAAGCAUAUGAAUCUGUUUAUGGGGCCAUGUACCCUUUUCCUGCCCCCUUACAAAUAUAUUUGCGUAACAGUCAGUUACAACUUUGUUUGCAGACGUUGAAAAGACUAACCAUUCACUAAUAGUUUUCUUUUUUAAUUUUUGUUAGUAUGUAGUGAUUGCAUUCCUCAUGGGGAGUUGGUACAUGUACAUAAGGCAUUGUAAUUCUUUUUUUUAUCCCAUUCCCCAUAUGCUGCUUCCCUUCUUUCAUCUCUUGCAAAAGAUCUAGCUCCUUGUUUCCUAUUACCUCUCUUUUAUUUUGCUGUUUAUUUAUAUUUUGAGUUUCUCAUAUAAAACUAACUAGGUGAUAAUUAAACUUGUCUGAUUUAUUUCACUGAACAUUAUGGUCUCAUAAUGUUAUGACUCAACUCAAAUUUAUCCUUCUUUAUCGAGAUUACUGUUCCAUUGUAUAUAAAUUCCUCAUUUUCUUUUUCUAUGCCUCUGUUGAUGGACACAUAGGGUGCUUCUGAGACUUGGCUACUAUAAGUUAUGCUACUGAGACAUGGGUCUACAUGUAAUAGAAUGUCUUUAAGUCUUUUGGGAAGAUACCUAGAAAGAGAAUAGUUAGGUCCAAUGUAAUUCCUAUUUUGUUUUUUGAGGGAUCUCCAUUCUGAUUUCCAGUGAUUGUACUAGUUCACAUUACCACCAACAAUGUGGAAGUGUACCUUUUCCCUACAGCCUCACUAGCAUUUGUUAGUACAGUAUUUAUUGAUAAGCUUCAUUCUUUCUAGAGUAAUAUGGAAUCUCAGUGUUUUGAUUUGCAUUUCUCUAGUGUCCAGAACUGUUGAACAUUAUUUUCAUGUAUUUAUUGGCCAUUUCUACUUCUCCUGGGAAGCAUCUACUCAUUUUAAUUGCCCAUCUUUUGAGUGUCACCCACCAAUAUUAAGUGCAGUUAUUUUGAUUUACUUGUUCCUAUCCCAGAAUAAGUUUUAUGAAUUAGCUUUGUCAAAUAAUUUUGUGGGGCCCAAAACUAUAUAAUAAUAUAAGCAUUAUUAAAUGAACUAAGGUAGGAAAGCAUUCAUAUUUUAAGAAUAACAUCAAUUUGCUGUUUGAAGAAAACAUCUUACAGAGCCUGGCAUAUAAUAGAUGAGUGGUAUUAAAUUUAUGCCGUUGGAAUAAAACAAGCAUUAUGACAGAAGACACCAAA